AACGGUGGGGUGUAGGUGGCAUUGUCUGUGGGGUUCCAGAAUUUGAUGUCUGUAGCGAGGAAAGCGUUGCCUAAUAGGAUGCAUCGGGCGUGUCCUCUGCAGAUAUCUUCAGCUGGAAUUCCAUACUUUCCUCAGCCCCAGCUUUGAAUUUCAUUUGAUGGUGGCGAUUCCGGAAGGCCAAUAAGCAGAAGGAUUCCUGGUGACGCCAUUAAAGAUGAGGGGGCGAUGUUAUCUUGCCCUAAAUUUCCCCGCCCUACCAAGGAUCCCUCGCAUCACAUAACAUAAUCUUCCGGGUGCUGUCAAACAGUAGGUAGUAAAAGAAGCCACGCCUCUGUCAGUCCAAGACAUGUCACUGUUCCAUCCGUCAGCCAUCAAAGUUGAAGGCUCCAUUCCAGUUGGUUGUUACCAGAGAUGUCACUCAAAUAGAUGCCCCAGGCUCAGAUGACAGCGUCACUUGCAUUGUCAAAAAAAAGACUAGUGCA